rnacentral:rRNA from 1 species
AUUGAACGCUGGCGGCAUGCUUUACACAUGCAAGUCGAACGGCAGCGCGGGCUUCGGCCUGGCGGCGAGUGGCGAACGGGUGUGUAAUGCAUCGGAACGUGCCCAGCUGUGGGGGAUAGCCCGGCGAAAGCCGGAUUACUACCGCAUACGACCUGAGGGUGAAAGCGGGGGACCGAAAGGCCUCGCGCCAUUGUGGCGGCCGAUGUCGGAUUAGCUAGUUGGUGGGGUAAAGGCUUACCAAGGCGACGAUCCGUAGCUGGUCUGAGAGGACGACCAGCCACACUGGGACUGAGACACGGCCCAGACUCCUACGGGAGGCAGCAGUGGGGAAUUUUGGACAAUGGGGGCAACCCUGAUCCAGCCAUGCCGCGUGCGGGAAGAAGGCCUUCGGGUUGUAAACCGCUUUUGUUCGGGAAGAAAUCCUCUGGGCUAAUACCCCGGGGGGAUGACGGUACCGGAAGAAUAAGCACCGGCUAACUACGUG